rnacentral:lncRNA from 10 species
UACGGGUUAUCAAGCCCUGGCUCUCUAUUUUCUCAGAAAAAAAGCAGCCCUUCUGCCCCUAAAAAAAGUCUACAAAGUCAAUCGUGAGACCAGACCUUGACCUGUUCCGUUUGGCGCUCUGGAUUGCGGAGCAUACCGAGGAGUCCUGUCUCCUCUUCCUCCACCUCUGCCACAGGGCUCCAGCUUCCCUCUGGGGGCACCACUGUUCUUAGAUGGCAGAGCAGAUGCAACGGCACCCCUGAGCUGCCCUCAGGGGGUCCUCAGCCUUGGAGGAGGCAGGAGACCUGGGCUAUGGAGCCACUCACAGGCCCUACUGAGAACAACUUGGUGUCCAUCACAGUCCUCUUCAGAAUGCCCAGAAUAUGGGGAUAAGAAGGUGAAACCGGCAUGUUUAUUAACACAAUGGAAUAUUCUGUGGCCAAAUCAAAGGAAGACGUUGAGGAUUCUGGUGACACCUGGAAACGUACUGCUAAGGGAAAAAAGCAGGACCACAAUGUUAUGUGGAUAUUGACUGCGACUAUAUAUAAUGCCAGCGUGGACUUCUCAGAGAUGGAAUUUGGAGGAAUGUAAUACAGAUGCAAAUAGAGUUUUCCCCAC